rnacentral:pre_miRNA from 1 species
GCCCGCUGUGAGGAGGAAGAGGAGGAGGAGGAAGUCUUCCUCUACCAGCUCUGGGUCA